rnacentral:rRNA from 1 species
GAUGAACGCUGGCGACGUGGAUAAGGCAUGCAAGUCGAAAGGGUUUAGACGCAAGUUUAAAUCCUUGGCGAACGAGGUAGUAACACGUAGGAAUCUGCCCUCAAGUCGGAGAUAACCCAUCGAAAGGUGGAGUAAUAUUCGAUAGUCUUGUAAAAGUAAAGGUUUACCCGCCGCAAGGCGGGCGAGAUCGCUUGAGGAAGAGCCUGCGGGCUAUCAGCUAGUUGGUAGGGUAAUGGCCACCAAGGCGAUGACGGCUAGGGGGNGGG